GGGCACAUGGUGUAGUUGGUUAUCACAUCCGCUUAGCACGUGAGAAGCACGUGGAGAGCACAUGCUACUGCGGGGGGUGCUGGGUUCAAUUCCCAGUGUGUCCA